AUCCAAUUGACGAAUGUGAAAUAGGACGAAACACGAGUCCUGGAU
rnacentral:hammerhead_ribozyme from 1 species